AGGAUGAUGUGUCCAACGUCCAUGGGAAUAACAUCACACCAGACCUUAUCAUUAUAUUCAGAAAAGUUGAUUUGGACUAGACAACGCUCAGUAACUGGUAUAGCGGUUUUAUCCACCCAAGACACAUUAUAAGGGUUAGGAUGAGGCACUGUCUUUAACUGUAGCUUGUUGACAGUUCUUGUGGAUACAACAUUGACGCUACUCCCACUGUCGAUGAUAACUUUACAGUUAUGUUCACCACAUUUGAUAUAGGUGUGAAAUAUGGAUCGGCGCCUCCAGUCAUCAUCUUCUUGUUUAGGUUGUGUAAGGACACACCUAACAACGCUUAAAGGAGUGGAACCCUCAAGUGAGCCAGGUUCCUCACCUUCAUCGGACUCUUCAGGGUCUAUCUCUGGUUCGUGGACCAACUCAUUCUCUUCAUCAUUUCUAUCUUCUUCGAUGACCAGUGUUUUCUUAGUAGAACAUUGACUAGCUCUAUGCCCAAAACCAAAACAUCUGUAACACUGAUCUCGAGAAAUUUUGGGUGGUUCACUUAAAAUUCCCUUAUUCUUUUGAUCAAUAAUUUUUGGGGACUCGGUCGCUUGAUUUCUAUUAUUAGGCUUACUCCAAGUAUUAGUUUGACUACC
rnacentral:lncRNA from 1 species